rnacentral:lncRNA from 1 species
GGGUCAAGGUGGAAGCUCGAAUCAAUGAGGCUGAAGGCACAACCAAUGGUGCCACCACCGUCAAGCUCCGAUAGGAGAAUCUAAUGGUGCUUGAGCCCCGCAAGGUCAUCAAUAUCGCCCAUGAUCCACCUAAGAAAUGUCUGCUCCUACCCAGGGGAGGUGGCGAUUCAGAGAGCAUCACCUCCCAAUCCACAACAACACUGAGGCCAAUGCCACCGCAUUUAUCAUCGCCACCCUCAAGGGAGGUAGCUGGGAUAGACUGGAGUUCCACUACCCAC